rnacentral:rRNA from 1 species
UACCAGAACCCCGAGUGGUCGGGACGAUUAUUGGGCCUAAAGCAUCCGUAGCCGGUUUUACAAGUCCCCCGUUAAAUCCAACUGCUUAACAGAUGGGCCGCGGAGGAUACUAUAAGACUAGGAGGCAGGAGAGGCAAGCGGUACUCAGUGGGUAGGGGUAAAAUCCGUUGAUCCAUUGAAGACCACCAAUGGCGAAGGCAGCUCGCUGGGACGUUACUGACGCUGAGACGCGAAAGCGUGGGGAGCAAACAGG